rnacentral:lncRNA from 1 species
GGAUGGAAUCCAAUAUCUCCAAAGCCUACACUUAUAGAAAUGUAGAAAGAUGGGGUUAGUACAAAAAGUACCAAGUAUGGAAGCCAUGCAUAAAUAUCAUUAAAACAUGCAUAAAGGAGACAUUUCAUUUGAAAUCAUGCUAUAUGCCAUUUUUUAACAUCAUAUUUGAAAUAGUUGGAGAAUGCAACUCAUAAGACAACC